rnacentral:tRNA from 1 species
GCGAGUGUAGCUCAGUUGGUAGAGCAUCACGUUGCCAACGUGAUUGUCGCCGGUUCGAAUCCGGUCACUCGCUCCA